rnacentral:rRNA from 1 species
UUCCAGACUCCUACGGGAGGCAGCAGUGGGGGAUAUUGCACAAUGGGGGGAACCCUGAUGCAGCGACGCCGCGUGGGUGAAGGAGCGUUUCGGCGCGUAAAGCCCUAUCGGCAGGGAAGAAGGAGGACGGUACCUGACUAAGAAGCCCCGGCUAACUACGUGCCAGCAGCCGCGGUAAUACGUAGGGGGCAAGCGUUAUCCGGAUUUACUGGGUGUAAAGGGAGCGUAGACGGCGAUGCAAGCCAGAUGUGAAAGCCCGGGGCUCAACCCCGGGACUGCAUUUGGAACUGUGUGGCUGGAGUGUCGGAGAGGCAGGCGGAAUUCCUAGUGUAGCGGUGAAAUGCGUAGAUAUUAGGAGGAACACCAGUGGCGAAGGCGGUCUGCUGGACAGCAACUGACGCUGAGGCGCGAAAGCGUGGGGAGCAAACAGGAUUAGAUACCCGAGUA